AUUGAACGCUGGCGGCAUGCCUUACACAUGCAAGUCGAACGGUAACGCGGGGCAACCUGGCGACGAGUGGCGAACGGGUGAGUAAUACAUCGGAACGUGCCCAGUAGUGGGGGAUAGCCCGGCGAAAGCCGGAUUAAUACCGCAUACGACCUACGGGUGAAAGCGGGGGAUCGCAAGACCUCGCGCUAUUGGAGCGGCCGAUGUCAGAUUAGCUAGUUGGUGGGGUAAAAGCCUACCAAGGCGACGAUCUGUAGCUGGUCUGAGAGGACGACCAGCCACACUGGGACUGAGACACGGCCCAGACUCCUACGGGAGGCAGCAGUGGGGAAUUUUGGACAAUGGGGGCAACCCUGAUCCAGCCAUGCCGCGUGCGGGAAGAAGGCCU
rnacentral:rRNA from 1 species